rnacentral:tRNA from 5 species
UGCGUUUUUAGCUCAGCUGGAUAGAGCAACGCCCUUCUAAGGCGUGGGCCAGGGGUUCGAAUCCCUUAAAACGCACCAU